rnacentral:rRNA from 1 species
CCUACGGGUGGCAGCAGUGAGGAAUAUUGGUCAAUGGACGAGAGUCUGAACCAGCCAAGUAGCGUGAAGGAUGAAUGUCCCAUGGGUUGUAAACUUCUUUUAUAUGGGAAUAAAACGAUCCACGAGAGGGAGUCUGUAUGUACUAGAUGAAUAAGGAUCGGCUAACUCCGUGCCAGCAGCCGCGGUAAUACGGAGGAUCCGAGCGUUAUCCGGAUUUAUUGGGUUUAAAGGGAGCGUAGGUGGAUUGUUAAGUCAGUGGUGAAAGUCUGCGGCUCAACCGUAGGAUUGCAGUUGAAACUGGCAGUCUUGAGUACAGUAGAGGUAGGCGGAAUUCGUGGUGUAGCGGUGAAAUGCUUAGAUAUCACGAAGAACUCCGAUUGCGAAGGCAGUUCACUGGACUGCAACUGACACUGAGGCUCGAAAGUGUGGGUAUCAAACAGGAUUAGAUACCCCAGUAGUC